CCGGAUCGAGCGCAAUGUGUUGAGGCUCGGGCAGAGAGGCUCGAGACGCAGGUCGGCCGCGUCCACGUGCGCCUCGCCUCGCCUCGAAGUUUCAGCAAUGGCCGCGGGAAGGUGAGCAAGCCCGGCACUGAGAGCUCCUGCGUGCUCGAAAAUGGCUUAUUAGCUUCGCCGCUCUAACUGCUCUCCGCCGUGACGUCACCGGGGCAGCCCAGCCAAUGAGGGAAGCGCUGGCGCUGAUAUUAAGGGAAAGUUAGUGCAAAGCUAAGCACCCUGGCUUUUUUUAUUGUCAUUGACAUUUAAACUGUGUGGCAGAUUCUUAUGUAGAAAUUGGCGAUCUGACUUGCCAGUUACCGACUCGCAGAGGCGGAACUGGGAAUCCGCGGAACAUGCGCCUCCGCCUGCCCUCUCGCUAACAGGAACUCAAGAUCACACAACCAGCAGCGUCACUGGAGAAAAACUCUUUUACUGGCAAUCCUUUUUAAGACACCACCAUUCCAAAUCACGGGCGCUUUUUAAAACUGUUGACAAGAGCUUUGACAACAAGACAGGAUGCCUCAGAAAGUGGGAAGACUUUAAUCAGCGCUACGCAGAUGUGUGAUUCCUUAAAUUGCAUGAGAGGAGAGUCCACUCAUAAAUCAG